rnacentral:rRNA from 1 species
UACGUAGGGGGCAAGCGUUGUCCGGAAUCAUUGGGCGUAAAGAGCGUGUAGGCGGCCCGGUAAGUCCGCUGUGAAAGUCUAGGGCUCAACCCUGGAAUGCCGGUGGAAACUGUCGGGCUAGAGUCCGGAAGAGGCGAGUGGAAUUCCUGGUGUAGCGGUGAAAUGCGCAGAUAUCAGGAAGAACACCCGUGGCGAAGGCGGCUCUCUGGGACGGUACUGACGCUGAGACGCGAAAGCGUGGGGAGCGAACAGG